GCAGUCGAACGGUAACAGGUCUUCGGAUGCUGACGAGUGGCGGACGGGUGAGUAAUGCGUAGGAAUCUGUCUUUGAGUGGGGGACAACCCAGGGAAACUUGGGCUAAUACCGCAUAAGCCCUGAGGGGGAAAGCGGGGGAUCUUCGGACCUCGCGCUGGAAGAGGAGCCUACGUCUGAUUAGCUAGUUGGUAGGGUAAAGGCCUACCAAGGCGACGAUCGGUAGCUGGUCUGAGAGGACGACCAGCCACACUGGGACUGAGACACGGCCCAGACUCCUACGGGAGGCAGCAGUGGGGAAUUUUUCGCAAUGGGGGCAACCCUGACGAAGCAAUGCCGCGUGAAUGAAGAAGGCCUUCGGGUUGUAAAGUUCUUUCGUGGAGGACGAAAAAGUGGGUGCUAAUAACGCCUGCUGUUGACGUGAAUCCAAGAAGAAGCACCGGCUAACUCCGUGCCAGCAGCCGCGGUAAUACGGGGGGUGCAAGCGUUAAUCGGAAUCACUGGGCGUAAAGGGUGCGUAGGCGGUGCAUUAGGUCUGUCGUGAAAUCCCCGGGCUCAACCUGGGAAUGGCGGUGGAAACCGGUGUACUAGAGUAUGGGAGAGGGUGGUGG
rnacentral:rRNA from 1 species